UUUCAUGUGCCUCCCCUCCAUCCACCAUAUCAUGCUUUCAUGCUUUUAUAGAAUUUUUAGGAUAUCUACGGUAGAAUGUGAAAUAGUUAACCAAUUCUUCUUUUCAAAAAAAAAAAAAAUUCCCUAUGUAUAUGUGCAUUCUCUGCUGAUCAGUAUUUGGGCUUUAGAGAUUAGAGGUUUGUGCAUUCUCUUCAAAUAUCUUUCAAACUGUUGACUUGUAUCUAUUCAUUCUUAAACAAUCUGAUUUGCAGGACUCUUGUAAAUAUGGAAUUCAAAGAGAUGCUGCUUAUUUUCCCCCACGUCCUACUGAACAGUCACAUGUUAUGGGGCCAUCCUAUCCUCUGAUGGUGGGGAUUCAAUCACAUGCAGUGGAUAUUAGUGCAGAUGAAUGAACGUGAGAGGUAGGGUCCAAGGAAACUGAUGAAAAGGCUGAUGAGGUUCUAAAGUAGGAUAUUUUGGAUUGUUGGACGCCAGAAAAUCACUACGGAUGGACUGAAUCUGAGUGUUAAACAUGUUGGGUUUAGACCAUCUGUAAUGAUUUUCUGGAGUCCAACAAUCCAGAAUAUCCAACUUUAGAACCUCAUCAGCCUUUUCAUCGGUUUCCUUGGACCCUACCUCUCACGUUCAAGUAGCUGCACUAAUGUUGGAGCUAAUCUGAAUGAAGGUUUUGAAACCUUAAUUGAAUAAAAAGGCUUUUUAUGUGGGUUGCUGAUAAAUGUACCUUCAUUUUAACUGAAGGAGAUUCAGCUAAGGCUCUUGCAAAGCUGGAGAGACUUCAAGAAGAGGAAUUAGUAGAGAAGCCAUUUCAACGGAAACAAAUGAAAGUAAGGUUCCCUGAGCAUGGAAGAAGUGGAAGAUCUGUUGUAACAAUUAAUAACUUGGAAUUUGGCUUUGGAGAUAAGGUGCUCUUGAACAAGGCAAAUCUUACAAUUGAAAGGGGAGAAAAACUUGCCAUAAUUGGCCCAAAUGGAUGUGGAAAAAGCACUUUGCCGAAAUUAUCAUUUGGAUUUAGAGAAGCCAAGAGGGGGUGAAGUUUUGCUUGGGGAGCAUAAUGUCCUGCCAAACUAUUUUGAGCAAAAUCAGGCUGAGGCACUUCAUUUCAAUAAAACAGUGCUUGAGACAGUAGUAGAAGCUGCAGAGGACUGGAGAAGUGAUGACAUAAAGGGACUCCUUGGGCGUUGUAAUUUUAAAGCUGAUAUGCUUGAUAGAAAGGUUUCUCUUUUGAGUGGUGGUGAGAAGGUAAGCUAAAACUGUAUGCUCUUAUGCGAUUU